rnacentral:rRNA from 1 species
CCUACGGGCGGCAGCAGUGGGGGAUAUUGCACAAUGGGGGAAACCCUGAUGCAGCGACGCCGCGUGUGGGAAGACGGUCCUCUGGAUUGUAAACCACUGUCCCCAGGGACGAAGAUGACGGUACCUGGGGAGGAAGCUCCUGCUAACUACGUGCCAGCAGCCGCGGUAAUACGUAGGGAGCAAGCGUUGUCCGGAAUUACUGGGUGUAAAGCGCUCGUAGGCGGUAUGUCAAGUCAAGGGUGAAAGCUCCGGGCUCAACGUGGGAACUGCCUUUGAAACUGGCAAACUGGAGUGUGGGAGAGGUUAGUGGAAUUCCAGGUGUAGGAGUGAAAUGCGUAGAUAUCUGGAGGAACAUCAGUGGCGAAGGCGACUAUCUGGCACAUAACUGACGCUAAGGAGCGAAAGCGUGGGUAGCAAACAGGAUUAGAUACCCGGGUAGUC